rnacentral:rRNA from 1 species
AACGAACGCUGGCGGCAGGCCUAACACAUGCAAGUCGAACGCUCCGCAAGGGGGAGUGGCGCACGGGUGAGUAACACGUGGGAACCUACCUUCUGGUACGGAACAACCAAGGGAAACUUUGGCUAAGACCGUAUACGACCUCCGGGUGAAAGAUUGAUCGCCGGAAGAGGGGCCCGCGUCCGAUUAGGUAGUUGGUGAGGUAACGGCUCACCAAGCCUUCGAUCGGUAGCUGGUCUGAGAGGAUGACCAGCCACACUGGGACUGAGACACGGCCAGACUCCUACGGGAGGCAGCAGUGGGGAAUAUUGGACAAUGGGCGCAAGCCUGAUCCAGCCAUGCCGCGUGAGUGAU